rnacentral:rRNA from 1 species
CCUACGGGCGGCAGCAGUGAGGAAUAUUGGUCAAUGGGCGAGAGUCUGAACCAGCCAAGUAGCGUGAAGGAUGACUGCCCUAUGGGUUGUAAACUUCUUUUAUCUGGGAAUAAAAUGUUCCACGUGUGGGAUUUUGUAUGUACCCUAUGAAUAAGGAUCGGCUAACUCCGUUCCAGCAACCGCGGUAAUACGGAGGAUCCGAGCGUUAUCCGGAUUUAUUGGGUUUAAAGGGAGCGUAGGUGGAUUGUUAAGUCAGUUGUUAAAGUUUUCGGCUCAACCGUAAAAUUGCAGUUGAAACUGGCAGUCUUGAGUACAGUAGAGGUGGGCGGAAUGCGUGGUGUAGCGGUGAAAUGCGUAGAUAUAAGGAAGAACACCAGUGGCGAAGGCGGAUGACUGGACGGCAACUGACGGUGAGGCGCGAAAGCGUGGGGAGCAAACAGGAUUAGAUACCCCUGUAGUC